rnacentral:rRNA from 1 species
UACACGUUUCUUCUUCUUUUGAUCGCUGCAGGAACACAACGGCGGAGGGUAGAAGCAUCCAACCGACUCACCCACCACCCAAGGGUCCUGACCACCGUCUCGGUGAUGAAACCCUCGUACCCCACGAUCACCACGCCCACUUCCGCAUCCUACGCCAUGCCCGCGUCCUCCAGGUUCCCGUCGCUGGCGGAUGCGAACGGCGGCGGUGACGUCGGCGGAGGUGGCAUCGGCGGUGGUGGUGCUGCUGGUGGUGCCACCGGCGGUGGUGGUACUGCUGGCGGCAUCGGCGGUGGCGGGGGCGGUGGGGGUGGCGGGACGUGGUGCGUGGCGAGCCAGAGCGCGAGCACGUCCGCGCUGCAGGUGGCCCUGGACUAUGCUUGCGGCUACAGCGGCGUAGACUGCUCGGCGAUCCAGACAGGCGGGAGCUGCUUCAACCCGGAUACCAUCCACGACCAUGCGUCCUACGCCUUCAACAGCUACUACCAGAAGAACCCUCUCCCCACAAGCUGCGACUUUGGCGGCACGGCCACCAUCACCACCACUGAUCCCAGUUCAGGGUCGUGCCAGUAUCCAGCGUCAAGCGGCGGCGCUCAAGGGACCAUGCCCCCGCCAUCACCGACCACUCUGACGCCGACCACGCCGAUGACUCCGACGCCGAUGACCCCAUUCACCCCGACGCCAAUGACGCCGGACACCCCUAGCACCGGGACGCCUAUGUACGGAUCAAACUCACCUCCGGACUUCGGGUCGAUGUCCCCUCCAGGCCCAGGAUCAAACUCACCUCCGGACUACAGCGACGUCGGCGCCGCCCCAGCGACGGCGAUGGGCAGGGCAACGCUGGCUCUCGUCUCCAUCCUUGCCGCGACGCUAUCGAUGAGCCUCGCCACAUGA